AGUGAACGCUGGCGGUAGGCCUAACACAUGCAAGUCGAACGGCAGCACAGUAAGAGCUUGCUCUUACGGGUGGCGAGUGGCGGACGGGUGAGGAAUACAUCGGAAUCUACUUUUUCGUGGGGGAUAACGUAGGGAAACUUACGCUCAUACCGCAUACGCCCUACGGUUGAAAGCAGGGGAUCUUCGCACCUUGCGCGGUUGAAUGAGCCGAUGUCGUAUUAGCUAGUUGGCGGGGUAAAGGCCCACCAAGGCGACGAUCCGUAGCUGGUCUGAGUGGAUGAUCGGCCACACGGGAACGUGGCCAGGGUCCAGACGCCUGCGGGAGGCAGCAGUGUGGAAUGUUGGACAACGGGCGGAAGCCUGAUCCAGCCAGACCGCGUGGGUGAAGAAGGCCUUGGGGUUGUAAAGCCCUUUUGUUGGGAAAGAAAAGCAGCAGGUUAAGACCCCGCUGUUCUGACGGUACUCAAAGAAUAAGCACCGGCUAACUUCGUG
rnacentral:rRNA from 1 species